UACGUAGGGGGCUAGCGUUGUCCGGAAUCAUUGGGCGUAAAGCGCGUGUAGGCGGUCCGGUAAGUCCGCUGUGAAAGUCGGGGGCUCAACCCUCGAAUGCCGGUGGAUACUGUCGGGCUAGAGUGCGGAAGAGGCGAGUGGAAUUCCUGGUGUAGCGGUGAAAUGACGCAGAUAUCAGGAGGAACACCAAUUGCGAAGGCGG
rnacentral:rRNA from 1 species